rnacentral:rRNA from 1 species
AUUGAACGCUGGCGAAAUGCUUUACACAUGCAAGUCGAGCGGCAGCGCGGGGGCAACCCUGGCGGCGAGCGGCGAACGGGUGAGUAACACAUCGGAACGUACCCAGUCAUGGGGGAUAGCCCGGCGAAAGCCGGAUUAAUACCGCAUACGACCUGAGGGUGAAAGUGGGGGAUCGCAAGACCUCACGUGAUUGGAGCGGCCGAUGGCGGAUUAGCUAGUUGGUAGGGUAAAGGCCUACCAAGGCGACGAUCCGUAGCGGGUCUGAGAGGACGACCCGCCACACUGGAACGGAGACACGGUCCAGACUCCGACGGGAGGCAGCAGUGGGGAAUUUUGGACAAUGGGCGAAAGCCUGAUCCAGCCAUUCCGCGUGAGUGAAGAAGGCCUUCGGGUUGUAAAGCUCUUUCGGCAGGAACGAAACGGUCUUUUCUAAUACAAGAGGCUAAUGACGGUACCUGAAGAAGAAGCACCGGCUAACUACGUGCCAGCAGCCGCAGUAA